AAAAAAAAUAAAGAUGUGAUAUAAGUGCAGGUUAUAUAUAUAUAGAGUGUAAGAAGUACAGUGAAAAAGAACAGACUCGUCCUCUCGUCCAUCUUCCAUUCGAGCCGAGCAUCGAGAUUAAUACACAUCAUUUGAAUCCAAGCAAUCUGUCACAGACAUAUGGAUGUAUAUAUGUUUUAAAUAAAAAAUAUAUAUAUCAGAUUAUGUGGACAGCGCAUUACGAUUAGCAAUCUAUCACGGACAAGUUAUUACUUAUUAAGACGUGGAUGAUACAUAUUAGGUGGUACGUGGAUGAUACAUAUUAGAUGGUACGUGGAUGAUACAUAUUAGAUGGUACGUGGAUGAUAUAUUCCAAUUACAUGGACAACAUAUGGAUGUAUAUAUGUUUUAAAUAAAAAAUAUAUAUAUCAGAUUAUGUGGACAGCGCAUUACGAUUAGCAAUCUAUCACGGACAAGUUAUUACUUAUUAAGAGGUGGAUGAUAC